GUAUGCGUAGCUCAAGUGGCAAGAGCGUGAGAGUAGAGUCUCGAGGUUCUAGGUUCGAGUCCUGGCGCAUGUU
rnacentral:tRNA from 1 species